rnacentral:rRNA from 1 species
AGGACGAACGCUGGCGGUGUGCUUCACACAUGCAAGUCGAACGAGGUAGCAAUACCUAGUGGCGGACGGGUGAGUAACGCGUGGGAAUCUGCCUUUAGAUGGGGGAUAACGGGCCGAAAGGUCCGCUAAUACCGCAUAGGCCGCAAGGUUAAAGGAGUAAUCCGUCUAAAGAUGAGCCCGCGUCCGAUUAGCUAGUUGGUAGGGUAAAAGCCUACCAAGGCGACGAUCGGUAGCUGGUCUGAGAGGAUGAUCAGCCACAAUGGGACUGAGACACGGCCCAUACUCCUACGGGAGGCAGCAGUGGGGAAUCUUGCGCAAUGCGCGAAAGCGUGACGCAGCAACGCCGCGUGGGGGAAGAAGGCUUUCGGGUUGUAAACCCCUUUCAGUUGGGACGAAGCCUCAUCGGUUAAUAGCCGCGUGGGGUGACGGUACCUUCACAAGAAGCACCGGCUAACUACGUGCCAGCAGCCGC